rnacentral:rRNA from 1 species
GACGAACGCUGGCGGCGUGCUUAACACAUGCAAGUCGAACGGAAAGGCCCUGCUUUUGCGGGGUGCUCGAUUGGCGAACGGGUGAGUAACACGUGAGUAACCUGCCCUUGUCUUUGGGAUAACUUCAGGAAACUGGGGCUAAUACCGGAUAGGAGCUCCUGCUCCACGGUGGGGGUUGGAAAGUUUCGGCGGUUGGGGCUCGACUCGCGGGUUAUCAGCUUGUUGGUGGGGUAGUGGCUUACCAAGGCUUUGACGGGUAGCCGGCCUGGGAGGGUGGCCAGCCACAUUGGGACUGAGAUACGGCCCAGACUCCUACGGGAGGCAGCAGUGGGGAAUAUUGCGCAAUGGGCGGAAGCCUGAUGCAGCAACGCCGCGUGCGGGAUGACGGCCUUCGGGUUAUAAACCGCUUUCGCAUGUGACGAAGCGUGAGUGACGGUAAUGGGUAAGGAAGCACCGGCUAACUACGUG